rnacentral:rRNA from 1 species
GACGAACGCUGGCGGCGUGCUUAACACAUGCAAGUCGAACGGAAAGGCCCUGCUUUUGUGGGGUGCUCGAGUGGCGAACGGGUGAGUAACACGUGAGUAACCUGCCCUUGACUUUGGGAUAACUUCAGGAAACUGGGGCUCAUACCGGAUAGGAUCUCCUGCUGCAUGGUGGUGGUUGGAAAGUUUCGGCGGUUGGGGAUGGACUCGCGGCUUAUCAGCUUGUUGGUGGGGUAGUGGCUUACCAAGGCUUUGACGGGUAGCCGGCCUGAGAGGGUGACCGGCCACAUUGGGACUGAGAUACGGCCCAGACUCCUACGGGAGGCAGCAGUGGGGAAUAUUGCACAAUGGGCGGAAGCCUGAUGCAGAAACGCCGCGUGCGGGAUGACGGCUUUUGGGUUGUAAACCGCUUUCGCCUGUGACGAAGCGUGAGUGACGGUAAUGGGUAAAGAAGCACCGGCUAACUACGUG